GCUUAACACAUGCAAGUCGAGGGGCAGCAUGGUCUUAGCUUGCUAAGGCCGAUGGCGACCGGCGCACGGGUGAGUAACACGUAUCCAACCUGCCGUCUACUCUUGGACAGCCUUCUGAAAGGAAGAUUAAUACAAGAUGGCAUCAUGAGUCCGCAUGUUCACAUGAUUAAAGGUAUUCCGGUAGACGAUGGGGAUGCGUUCCAUUAGAUAGUAGGCGGGGUAACGGCCCACCUAGUCUUCGAUGGAUAGGGGUUCUGAGAGGAAGGUCCCCCACAUUGGAACUGAGACACGGUCCAAACUCCUACGGGAGGCAGCAGUGAGGAAUAUUGGUCAAUGGGCGAGAGCCUGAACCAGCCAAGUAGCGUGAAGGAUGACUGCCCUAUGGGUUGUAAACUUCUUUUAUAAAGGAAUAAAGUCGGGUAUGCAUACCCGUUUGCAUGUACUUUAUGAAUAAGGAUCGGCUAACUCCGUGCCAGCAGCCGCGGUAAUACGGAGGAUCCGAGCGUUAUCCGGAUUUAUUGGGUUUAAAGGGAGCGUAGAUGGAUGUUUAAGUCAGUUGUGAAAGUUUGCGGCUCAACCGUAAAAUUGCAGUUGAUACUGGAUAUCUUGAGUGCAGUUGAGGCAGGCGGAAUUCGUGGUGUAGCGGUGAAAUGCUUAGAUAUCACGAAGAACUCCGAUUGCGAAGGCAGCCUGCUAAGCUGCAACUGACAUUGAGGCUCGAAAGUGUGGGUAUCAAACAGGAUUAGAUACCCUGGUAGUCCACACGGUAAACGAUGAAUACUCGCUGUUUGCGAUAUACAGCAAGCGGCCAAGCGAAAGCGUUAAGUAUUCCACCUGGGGAGUACGCCGGCAACGGUGAAACUCAAAGGAAUUGACGGGGGCCCGCACAAGCGGAGGAACAUGUGGUUUAAUUCGAUGAUACGCGAGGAACCUUACCCGGGCUUAAAUUGCAGAUGAAUUACGGUGAAAGCCGUAAGCCGCAAGGCAUCUGUGAAGGUGCUGCAUGGUUGUCGUCAGCUCGUGCCGUGAGGUGUCGGCUUAAGUGCCAUAACGAGCGCAACCCUUGUUGUCAGUUACUAACAGGUUCCGCUGAGGACUCUGACAAGACUGCCAUCGUAAGAUGUGAGGAAGGUGGGGAUGACGUCAAAUCAGCACGGCCCUUACGUCCGGGGCUACACACGUGUUACAAUGGGGGGUACAGAGGGCCGCUACCACGCGAGUGGAUGCCAAUCCCCAAAACCUCUCUCAGUUCGGACUGGAGUCUGCAACCCGACUCCACGAAGCUGGAUUCGCUAGUAAUCGCGCAUCAGCCACGGCGCGGUGAAUACGUUCCCGGGCCUUGCACACACAGCCC
rnacentral:rRNA from 1 species